rnacentral:rRNA from 1 species
UGGUCAAGUUAUUAAGGGUGCAGGGCGGAUGCCUUGGCACUAGGAGCCGAUGAAGGACGUGAUAAGCUGCGAUAAGCUUCGGGGAGUUGCACGUAAACUUUGAUCCGAAGAUUUCCGAAUGAGGAAACUCACUUAGAGUAAUGUCUAAGUAUCAUUAAGUGAAUACAUAGCUUAAUGAGGGGAACUCAGGGAACUGAAACAUCUAAGUACCUGAAGGAAGAGAAAGAAAUUCGAUUCCGUAAGUAGCGGCGAGCGAACGCGGAUUAGCCCAAACCAAUAAAGUUUUCUUUAUUGGGGUUGCGGACAUAUCAUAACGAAGAGGUAUCGUAAUUGAAGAGGUUUGGAAAGACCCACCACAGAAGGUAAUAGUCCUGUAUGUUAAACGAGAAGACUUCAGAUAUGAUCCAGAGUACCACGGGACACGUGAAACCCUGUGGGAAGCAGGAGGGACCACCCUCCAAGGCUAAAUACUACCUAGUGACCGAUAGCGUAUAGUACCGUGAGGGAAAGGUGAAAAGAACCCCGGGAGGGGAGUGAAAUAGAACCUGAAACCCUGCACUUACAAGCUGUGGAAGCACAUUUCUUGUGUGACCGCGUACUUUUUGUAGAACGGGCCAACGAGUUACGUUAAGUAGCAAGGUUAAGCACUUAAGGUGUGGAGCCGUAGCGAAAGCGAGUUUUAACUGAGCGUUCAGUUACUUGACGUAGACCCGAAACCGGGCGACCUACCCAUGAGCAGGAUGAAGCGAAAGUAAAAUUUCGUGGAGGUCCGAACCCACGAGCGUUGAAAAGCUCGGGGAUGACUUGUGGGUAGCGGUGAAAUUCCAAUCGAGCCCGGAGAUAGCUGGUUCUCCCCGAAAUAGCUUUAGGGCUAGCCUCAAGGUGAGAGAUACGGAGGUAGAGCACUGAAUGUCCUAGGGGGUAUUGCACCUACCGAAGACUAUCAAACUCCGAAUGCCGUCAUCUUAUACUUGGGAGUCAGACUGUGGGUGAUAAGAUUCAUAGUCGAAAGGGCAACAGCCCAGAUCGUCAGCUAAGGUCCCUAAAUGUAAGUUAAGUGGUAAAGGAUGUGGGAUUGCACAGACAACCAGGAUGUUGGCUUAGAAGCAGCCACUCAUUCAAAGAGUGCGUAAUAGCUCACUGGUCGAGUGAUCCUGCGCCGAAGAUUUCCGGGGCUAAAACUUACUACCGAAGCUACGGCAUCAGUAAUGAUGGGUAGGGGAGCUUCCCAUACGGGUUGAAGCAUGACCGUAAGGACAUGUGGACAGUAUGGGAGUGAGAAUGUUGGCAUGAGUAGCGAGAUGUGGGUGAGAAUCCCACAGGCCGUAAACCCAAGGUUUCCAGGGGAAGGUUCGUCCGCCCUGGGUUAGUCGGGACCUAAGCUGAGGCCGAAAGGCGUAGGUGAUGGACAACAGGUUGAUAUUCCUGUACUACCGAUAACCGUUUGAGAGAAGGGAUGACACAGUAGGAUAAGCUAAGCACACUGUUGGUUAUGUGUGCCCAAGCAUUGAGGCAGUCAAAGUAGGCAAAUCCGCUUUGAUAAUGCUGGGAUGUGAUGGGGAGCGAAAUUUAGUAGCGAAGUAGCUGAUUUCACACUGUCAAGAAAAGUCUCUAUCGAGGUUAAAGGUACCCGUACCGCAAACCGACACAGGUGGGUGAGGAGAGUAUCCUAAGGCCAGCGAGAGAACUGUUGUUAAGGAACUCGGCAAAAUGACCCCGUAACUUAGGGAUAAGGGGUGCCACCAUCAGGUGGCCGCAGAGAAUAGGCCCAAGCGACUGUUUACCAAAAACAUAGGUUUCUGCUAAGUCGCAAGACGAUGUAUAGGAGCUGACGCCUGCCCGGUGCUGGAAGGUUAAGGGGAUCUGUUAGAGCAAUCGAAGCAGUGAACUUAAGCCCCAGUAAACGGCGGCCGUAACUAUAACGGUCCUAAGGUAGCGAAAUUCCUUGUCGGGUAAGUUCCGACCCGCACGAAAGGCGUAACGAUUUGGGCACUGUCUCAACAACAGACUCGGUGAAAUUGUAAUUCCGGUGAAGAUGCCGGAUACCUGCGACAGGACGGAAAGACCCCAUGGAGCUUUACUGUAGCUUGACAUUGGGUUUUGGUACUACAUGUACAGGAUAGGUGGGAGGCUUUGAAACCAGGACGCCAGUUUUGGCGGAGCCAUCCUUGGGAUACCACCCUUGUAGUACUGGGACUCUAACCAUAGGCCAUGAAUCUGGUCUUGGGACACUGUCAGGUGGGCAGUUUGACUGGGGCGGUCGCCUCCCAAAAGGUAACGGAGGCGCUCAAAGGUUCUCUCAGUACGGUCGGAAAUCGUACGUAGAGUGUAAAGGCAAAAGAGAGCUUGAUUGCAAGACAUACAGGUCGAGCAAGGAUGAAAAUCGGACUUAGUGAUCCGGUGGUUCUGCGUGGAAGGGCCAUCGCUCAACGGAUAAAAGCUACCCUGGGGAUAACAGGCUUAUCUCCCCCAAGAGUCCACAUCGACGGGGAGGUUUGGCACCUCGAUGUCGGCUCAUCACAUCCUGGGGCUGUAGUAGGUCCCAAGGGUUGGGCUGUUCGCCCAUUAAAGUGGUACGCGAGCUGGGUUCAGAACGUCGUGAGACAGUUCGGUCCCUAUCCGUCGCAGGCGUAGGAAAUUUGAGAAGACCUGUCCUUAGUACGAGAGGACCGGGAUGGACGUACCUCUGGUGUACCAGUUGUUCUGCCAAGGGCAUGGCUGGGUAGCUAUGUACGGAAUGGAUAAGCGCUGAAAGCAUCUAAGCGCGAAGCCAACUUCAAGAUAAGAUUUCCCACCGCAAGGGUAAGACCCCAGAAAGACUAUCUGGUUGAUAGGUCGAAGGUGUAAGUGCAGCAAUGUAUUUAGCUUAUCGAUACUAAUAGGUCGAGGACUUGACCAAUAUUAUUUGAUGUUCACUU